UCCCCCUUACAAACAACAUCUCAACCAUCCUAUGAAUGGGAUGUUGGUGCCGGACUGAUUUGCCUUCAGAAAACUUGGUAAAGGCAACCAGAAGCUUCUGGCGACCCUCCUCUGGCUUGGCCUUGCCAAUAGCUCCCAUUGAUUGUGACUUGCUGCCCACACCACUUGGAUCCAUGGACACAGAAAACUAGUGACCUUUGGUAAAUCCGUUCCAAUGGUGUCAAUGGCUGACAUGGGGGCGGCCAUGGUGGCACGACCUCCGCCAGCACAGGAGCUUUC
rnacentral:lncRNA from 1 species